GAUGAAGAACGUAGCGAAAUGCGAUAACUAAUGUGAAUUGCAGAAUUCCGUGAAUCAUCGAGUCUUUGAACGCACAUUGCGCCCCCUGGUAUUCCGGGGGGCAUGCCUGUCCGAGCGUCAUUGCUGCCCAUCAAGCACGGCUUGUGUGUUGGGUCCUCGUCCCCCCCGGGGGACGUGCCCGAAAGGCAGCGGCGGCACCGCGUCCGGUCCUCGAGCGUAUGGGGCUUUGUCACCCGCUCUGCAGGCCCGGCCGGCGCUGGCCGACGCGAAAGCAACCAUUUUAUCUCCAGGUUGACCUCGGAUCAGGUAGGGAUACCCGCUGAACUUAAGCAUAUCAAUAAGCGGAGGA
rnacentral:misc_RNA from 1 species